rnacentral:rRNA from 1 species
CAGCCGCCGCGGUAAUACCGGCGGCCCGAGUGGCGGUCACUAUUAUUGGGCUUAAAGCGUCCGUAGCCGGGUUGGGAAGGCCUCCGGGAAAUCUGGCCGCUUAACGGUCAGAAUGCCGGAGGAUACUCCCAGCCUAGGGAGCGGGAGAGGCCGAGGGUAUUCCCGGAGUAGGGGUGAAAUCCUAUAAUCCCGGGCGGACCACCUGUGGCGAAGGCGCUCGGCUGGAACGCGUCCGACGGUGAGGGACGAAGGCCAGGGGAGCAAACCGGAUUAGAUACCCGGGUAGUCCUGGCUGUAAACGAUGCGGACUUUGUGUCGGACAAGCUAUGAGCUUGUCCGGUGCCGGAGGGAAACCGUUAAGUCCGCCGCCUGGGGAGUACGGCCGCAAGGCUGAAACUUAAAGGAAUGGCGGG